rnacentral:lncRNA from 1 species
CCAGCUGUUAGUUAACUAUUAAUGUUUCUGUUAAUUUGAUGACAUGAUAAUAUUUCUCGAAUAAUUUUACCUUUUAUUAAUUUUAAAAAUUACCAAAUUAUAUACAAUAUAAUUUUUAAAAUUUUUUCUCUUCCAUUCAAAAAAAAUUCUCUUUACCCUACCUCUCAUCAACCGACCACCUUGCCACCAAAUCUGAUGCCAGAUUUGGCUCUCCUCCAAGGGAACACUAGAUUCGCGCUCCCUUGGGGAGCAAGGGAGCACCAGAUCAUGUCCCCCAAGGAGUGCGAGAUAUGAGGUGUGUGACUAGAUCGAACUCCCUUGAAAAGAUCUAGUUGGAUUUGGCAUUCGAUAGUCAGAUCUGGCCGUGAGAUGGUUGGUUAGUGUAAGGAAGUGUCGCCAUUGACCUGAGAGAAAGGAAAAUAAUGAAAAGAUUGGAGAAAGAAGAAUGAUACAUUUUACAUUUACCCAUUAACGCCGCUUACAUGUUUGGAACGGAUUGUUUAUUUCAAAUACUAAUAAACUCACGUGAAAUUAUGAUUAAAACUUAGAGAGAUCAAAAUGUUUAACUAUAUAUAUGUAUGUCAUACUAGGGUGUUUACAAAAAAUUUAGAACCCUAAAUAAGAAACCUUUUGGUUAACUAGUUUAAUAUGAGAAUGGGAUGAAAUGUUACCAUGACAGUAAGUAUUUGGAAUUACAUUUUUCACAAUAAGAAAUUAUAGAGGAUGGGGCGGGAAGGAUUGUUUGGGUUGGAACCCAAAUCCAGAUGCCUUAGAAAAGAUCUAAGAAGCUGGAAGUGCGGUGAGAGCCUCACGGCGCACAGGUGAAUUGGGCCAAAGGCCCUUCCGCUUAAAUCCUAAAGUAAAUACCGAGAAACUUCGGCUUUUUUCUACAGGCUCAAAUCAAUCACUGGACUUGUUUCAACAUUUCAUGUUGCUCCUUAGGGAAACUCCCUGGGGGUUUCAGUUCUAAUUUCUAGCUUCAACUCUCCAAUCAUUCUUUGAAGAAAGAUUAGAGAAAUGGAGAAGGAUAUUUUCGUGAUAUUGAAAACUAAUGGUACUACUCUCUUUAUUUUUUUUUCCAAAAAAGAAAUAUUUGAAAUGGAAACCAAAAGCAAGUCGUCGAUCCAGCCCAAACCAAUGUGAGAAACCAAAAAGGCGAAGGUCAGAAAAAUUCCAGAGAGCAAAAGCGCACACACAGACACAGAGCCCACCGCACACUCAGUAUAAAUACUCACACAAAAAGAUUUUUUAAAAAGCAACAUCUGUAAUAAAAUCGAGUAUAAGGAGAAGAAAAAAACGACGAUGAGAAUAUAAGGAACCCCAUCAAAACGGCAAAACAGAUCAAAAUAAAAAUAAAAAUAAAAAUAAAAACCCUAGUUUUUCAAAACAAAUGAUAUUGAUGAUGAUGACGAUGAUGACAUGAGCGUACCAUGGCUAGGG